GAUGAACGCUGGCGGCGUGCUUAACACAUGCAAGUCGAACGAAGCACUUUAUUUGAUUUCCUUCGGGACUGAUUAUUUUGUGACUGAGUGGCGGACGGGUGAGUAACGCGUGGGUAACCUGCCUUGUACAGGGGGAUAACAGUUGGAAACGGCUGCUAAUACCGCAUAAGCGCACAGCAUCGCAUGAUGCAGUGUGAAAAACUCCGGUGGUAUAAGAUGGACCCGCGUUGGAUUAGCUAGUUGGUGAGGUAACGGCCCACCAAGGCGACGAUCCAUAGCCGAUCUGAGAGGGUGACCGGCCACAUUGGGACUGAGACACGGCCCAGACUCCUACGGGAGGCAGCAGUGGGGAAUAUUGCACAAUGGGCGAAAGCCUGAUGCAGCGACGCCGCGUGAGCGAAGAAGUAUUUCGGUAUGUAAAGCUCUAUCAGCAGGGAAGAUAAUGACGGUACCUGAAGAAGAAGCACCGGCUAAAUACGUG
rnacentral:rRNA from 1 species